CCAUGUGUGACUUUUCCAGGCGGUCACUGUGUAACUAUUGGUCCCUUCAUCCCCGUCUUUCGCCCCUCCCCCCGUCACGAACCCUAGCCCCGGCGGCGACAACGGCCGAUCUGGAGGACGCGACAGCCCGACCCCCUGUCCAUUCGGCCUCUAGGACGGGCGAAGCAGUGAAGAAACAUUGUCGUCGUUAAUCUUCACCAGUGUCAAGGAAAGGCGGCAAAGGUUCUGCAAAGCGAGGGAAAUCCAUAGCAACACCGCAGCGCCAGCCAAGCGACAUCCUGCCACGCGUUCGCGUGCAAGCUACAAUAUCGAACACUCCGUAAGAUACCCUCAAAUGGCUAUCAAGGAGAUGGAAGACCUCGCUACGACCAUUCGGCAACUGGUGCCGAAUCCUACUGACGAACGAGUUCAGUGCCACCAUGUGCCAGAGCUCCUUGCUUAGAUCCUUUACUUGGCUGAUUGGAUCCAUAAGGUCUCUAUUCAGUGCACCACCAUUCUUGCCAAGUACAACCCCAACCCUCCAGACACAGGCGUCACAAUCGAAGACGAAUGAGUUGUCGCUGAUAUGGAACUAACGCCAACACCGUCACCUAAAUCCGUUGAAGAACUGUACGAAGAGCGGAGCAUGAACUACGACAGCGAUCAGGCUAGAGGCAUCAGCUAGCUAGGUUUUUAGUUAAAUGUAGUCGGUUCAUGGUAGUAUUUUGUCAGUCAUGGAUGUAGUGAAGUACCCUUUCGAGUUAUUUGUAGGGGAUCCAUGCGAACUAUGUGUCUGUUCUUGGCUUUUGGAAUAAAAAUUGUGCCUCUGUCGUUGCUAUGUGCUGAACCUUCGCACUUGUUUCAGAAUUGCAAUGGACAACUUUGACUAUGGCUAUGACUCCAUUUUUGACGGUGUCCACUAUACACUCCGCCAAUAACUUCGAUGAUGACCAUGUUGAUAUGACAACACCCAAGGAUUUUAGCCUGGUUUGGUUUCAUUCCUUUGGUUCAUAUUUGCCACUUCACAUACACUACUCACCGACCACCACAUUUGUAGGCUUCCACAACAAGUUACAUAAGUUGCACCAAGACCAUCACGAAAGAAAAAAAAAAUGAGAACCAAGAUGGUAGCCAUCUGGAGUAAAAACUUCAGCACAAAGGAAUAUUGCUUGCUAUGCUCUGCUUAUUUGAAUGUGGGCAAGGAUCCAAUUACUGGGACAAAUCAAACUUUGGGCAACUACUGGGACGGGUCCAUAAGUUUUUCAAUGAGCACAAGACCUCAACUAUGACAGAUCGAAGUAUUUGUUCCCUCCAACACAGAUGAGGAAUAAUCCAUAGGGAAACAAGAAAAUUUUGUGCCAUAUAUGGCAAAGUAUGUAGAAGGUACAAAAGUGGACAAAGCGAAGAUGACAAGGAACACAAGUGCGCCCACCCACCAAACACCGAAUAAUUGCAUCGAUACAUCUUGUGGCCUCAGCGGCAUCCUUCGGUGAAGACCUCCUACAAUUCGUGUUAUGCUUUCAAUUAUUGUGUUUUAUGCCUACCACAUGCACUAUUUACGCUAAAAACGGAAGGAUUUUAUGCUCGAACAUGGAGUUCGUAUAUCAGUGUACC